rnacentral:rRNA from 1 species
GAUGAACGCUGGCGGCGUGCCUAAUACAUGCAAGUCGAGCGAACAAACGAGGAGCUUGCUCCUCUGAUGUUAGCGGCGGACGGGUGAGUAACACGUGGAUAACCUACCUAUAAGACUGGGAUAACUUCGGGAAACCGGAGCUAAUACCGGAUGAUAUAUUGAACCGCAUGGUUCAAUAGUGAAAGACGGUUUUGCUGUCACUUAUAGAUGGAUCCGCGCUGCAUUAGCUAGUUGGUAAGGUAACGGCUUACCAAGGCGACGAUGCGUAGCCGACCUGAGAGGGUGAUCGGCCACACUGGAACUGAGACACGGUCCAGACUCCUACGGGAGGCAGCAGUAGGGAAUCUUCCGCAAUGGGCGAAAGCCUGACGGAGCAACGCCGCGUGAGUGAUGAAGGUCUUCGGAUCGUAAAACUCUGUUAUUAGGGAAGAACAAAUGUGUAAGUAACUAUGCACAUCUUGACGGUACCUAAUCAGAAAGCCACGGCUAACUACGUG